CUGGCAGGAAGCCCAGUCAGGCCUGAGGAGCCUGGACCAAUCCUGAGCCUCGCGGUCGGGGUGGUGUAGAUCCUGGGUGAGCUGGAAAGCUACUGGACAAUGUUAAGGACAAAGUAAAAUUAUUCUCAACCAUAAAAAAGAAUGAAAUAACGCCAUUUUCUGCAACAUGGAUGGACCAAGAGAUUGUCAUACUGAGUGAAGACUUCCCUGGCUCAGAAGGUAAAGAAUCUGCCUACGAUGCAGGAGACCCACAUUCAAUCCCUGGGUCAGGAAGAUCCCAUGGAGAAGGGCAUGGCAACCCACUGCAGUAUUCUUACCUAGAGAAUUCCAUGGACAGAGAAACCUGGCAGGCUACAGGCAAUGGGGUUGCAAAGAGUUGGACACAACUGAGUGAAUAAAACUUUUUCUCCUCCAUAGGAGCUAUAUGAAUGAUUUUUGUGUUUCCAUCAGUAAUACUGAGCAUUUCUGUUUUUCCACAGCCUCAUUAGCAGGGUAUCUCAACAAACUUUCAAAUUUAUGCCAAUUAAGAUAGGUGAGAAAAAAGCACCUCAGAAGUUUUCAUCUGAAUUUCCUUUGUUAGAAUUGAAGUUACACUGUUCUGUGAUUUAACCAAGCUAGCUUUCUCCCUCAGGACUUCUGAAAGUGACCUCACUGUGAUUUAUAAAGUAAAAUUUCAGGGAAUCCAGAAUGGUUUCCUUAACUAAGUUCCAU
ensembl:lncRNA